rfam:Ailuropoda melanoleuca scaffold575_186, whole genome shotgun sequence.
ACCUGGCUGGCUCAGUUGGUAGAGCAUGUGACUCUUGAUCUCAGGGUCGUGAGUUCAAGCCACACGUUGCGUG